CUGUGAAUAUCCUCAUUGUCUUGAUUUUUGUAAUAAUCAGAGCAAGUUAAACAUUUACUAUAUAUAAGUCACGCAUAUGUUCCCAGACCUUGCUCUCUUCCUAGGUCUGAUUUAAUAAGUGCUGGUGAUAAAC
rfam:Erinaceus europaeus unplaced genomic scaffold scaffold00192, whole genome shotgun sequence